GAUGAACGCUGACCGAAUGCUUAACACAUGCAAGUCUUUGGCGAAGCUGUGCUUGCACAGCCUAGCCAAGGCGGACGGGUGAGUAACGCGUAAGGAACUUGCCCUGCAGUCAGGGAUAACAGACGGAAACGACUGAUAAGACCUGGUAAAGUCAGGCGGACUCAUGUCCAGCCUGAUGAAAAGAGAUGCUGCAGGAGAGCCUUGCGUCCUAUUAGCUUGUUGGUGGGGUAACGGCCCACCAAGGCGAUGAUAGGUAGCCGGCCUGAGAGGGUGGACGGCCACAAGGGGACUGAGAUACGGCCCUUACUCCUACGGGAGGCAGCAGUGGGGAAUAUUGGACAAUGGGGGCAACCCUGAUCCAGCAAUUCUGUGUGCACGAUGAAGGUUUUCGGAGUGUAAAGUGCUUUCAGCAGGGAAGAAAAAAAUGACGGUACCUGCAGAAGAAGCGACGGCUAAAUACGUG
rnacentral:rRNA from 1 species